UCAAUGCAUCUUUUUCUUUCAGACAUGGCCGUAAAAAGGAUGAUCCGUGGACUCCCACUAAGUUUGCUGUGUGUAGCCGACGUGCGUGGGAUGGACGGAUUAAGGAAUGGCGCAAAAAACUUCAUAACUGGGAUCCUGAUCAUGAUAUGGGUCAAGUCAGUGUGUCAGCUGGAGGUGUUGUUGAGGAGGAGGCCUGUUUGGACGAUGUUCCUGACCUGGAGCUGUUGGACCCCAUGGACAUCGACAAGGAGACCUUCACCAUCUAGCAAGUUAACUAAAGAAUUCAAAGUCCAAAAACUCACUUUCAUAUAGUUUGUAACCGUACAUCUCAGUAUUUUCAAGUUACUGCAUAAGAUUGCAGAUUGAUUUUUCAGUUUCUCAUCUCUUGUGUAUAUAUGAAUAUUACCUAACAUCCUAGUACCGUGUGCACAUUCUCACCCUUAGAAUACAGUUCUCUAGGGUUGAUGGACAUACAUAAUACGGAUGUUUUAAAACCAGUGUACUCAAAACAUCUUUGGAAUAAAGUUUUCAGUUUCCUUAAU